UACGUAGGGUGCGAGCGUUGUUCGGAUUUACUGGGCGUAAAGCGCACGCAGGCGGUCUGUCAAGUCGGAUGUGAAAUCCCCGGGCUCAACCUGGGAACUGCAUUCGAAACUGGCAGGCUAGAGUCUUGUAGAGGGGGGUAGAAUUCCAGGUGUAGCGGUGAAAUGCGUAGAGAUCUGGAGGAAUACCGGUGGCGAAGGCGGCCCCCUGGACAAAGACUGACGCUCAGGUGCGAAAGCGUGGGGAGCAAACAGG
rnacentral:rRNA from 1 species